GAAAAAAUGAAAAAAGAAUAUCGGACCUUAAAAACAUGGCGUGAAAAGGCUGAGUUUGGACCAGCUGAUUUUAAAAAGAGGACCAAGAUCAAAACCUCAAACAAAGCUGUCUCGCUUCAAAGAAAUUGUUGGGAAGAUGCACACACCUAUUCCUCACGGCCCCCCUGUUCUCAAGAAUCAGACGUUUACCUUCGUUCAGAACCAGAAGUUAAGGAAGUAAAACAAGUAUCUGAUUAUCAGAAAUUUCCAGAUAUUCCACCUGACUUAUCUAAUAUGCACUUACAAAUUACUGCACCUGUACCAUCCCGUGUGGGAAGUGACUCAGAAGAAUCGGAGAAAAGUGAAAUUUGUACACCUGUUGAACAAAUUGAACUUCCAGCACUGACUGUAGUGCCUAGCAGGCCCCAUUCAUUAGAAUUUUCAUCUGACAGAGAGACUCUGGAACCGAAGAUUACAAGAGGACAAAUUUCUCAUGUGUCUGAAACAUCUCUAUCUAGUUCUGGAAGAAUCCUCGGCGAGUUUUCAGAGAGCGGUGAUUCUGAACCGCCUCCUUUUCUUGGUCCUAGAAGCAAACUACUGCUUAAAGAAAAUCUGUAGCAGAAGCACCUGCCUUAGACUAUUUACCAAAACCAAUAGAGGUGCCUUCUAAGACUUCAAAGGAAUCAUUUUCUGUUUCUGAAAUUCCUGGCAGAAUCUCAGAUUCAGUUGUUGAACCAGAACAGCAAUGGCCAUGGAAAGAGGUUACGUUCCAAGAUGCAUUUUAUAGUAGAAACAAGUUUGAACCCUUCUUGAGACGUGUUUGCAAAGUACAGCCUCCUGAGCUUAGGAAAGGCACAAUAGACUAUUCCGUUUUUUUAGAAAAAGCAUACUCACCUGUUGAUUUCAAAGAACAAGAAGACCAAGAUCCACCUCCAGGUCUGCCUUUGACAAAAUUAGAUAACGGCUUAGAUCCCAAAUCAAUCAGAAGUGGUGAGCAAUUGUCAAUAUUAAGACUCCUUGAAAAAAAAAUGAUUUGCAAGGGGAAGACAAAGAAAUUGCAGUGGAAGCUGAAAGAGUAACAAAGCCACCAACUAUAACUUCUGAAUUAAAGCCACAAAGAGAAAGACUAUCAGAAGCAGAAAUAAAACAGGUUAAUGUUUACUUCAAAAACUCUCUUGAAGCUUUUCUUGUUGAAAAAGUUGUAAAAGUGGUAGCACUUAAAUCACUUUUGAGCAAAAACAUUGAAAACCUAGUUGCAGAGAGACUUUCAGAAUCGGAGUUACGCCAAGAAUUAGAAGACAGCAGCCUAUUAGAUGACAGAGAGAAAUCUUCUUUGAAGGAAAUAACGACUAGUACUACGGAUGCAUUUUCAGAAUCAGACAUUAGUGAACUGAGAGAUGUUGUAAGUCAGCACUUACAGGCUCAACUUAUAGGAAAAUUGUCUGAAAAAGGGAUAAUCCCAGAUAUGGUGACAGCAGAGAACCAGCUUUCUCUCCAGAGUUCUGGUGAUAGGCUCAAGAAAGCUUUAUUGAAAGGAGUAACUUCACAAACUGAAAUAAUAACCAUAAAACCAUUAAGUGAGAGUGAUAUAAGAGAACUUUCCAAAUCUGAAUCCUUAGAUACUAAGGAAAGUUGCAAAAGCAAGCCGGUAUUUACAGAAGCAGAUUUAUAUGAAAGCAGAAAAGAUGAUUACAGUGAGUCUAUUUUAUUUCCUCUUAAAAGCCAAAUUAGUUCAGUGAAAGAAUCAACAUUGGAUUUAAGAAACAUAUCCUCAAACGCGUCAUUAGAAAUCAUUAAAGUAAAGUUACCAUUCAGCAUCGAAACAGCUAAUGUAAAAAAACAUGCUUCCCUCCAUGAUACCCUCCUUCAAAAGAUUUUAAAAGCAGAAAUAAAAAGUUUAAAAUCGUUUCUAAGCAAAGGUAUUCAGGAUCACCUGAAGGAUAAACUUUCAGAAACUGGAUUAAGUAAAGAAGACCUGGAAACUGUGUGUCAGAAGUUGUCCUUGAACUUGAAGGAGAAAUCUGAUGAGGGUUUUGAUGACAGUGUGUUGAGCAAAAGCGUUCAAAAUCUUUUUGAGGCACUUUCAGAGAAUGAAAUUGCCAAUUUAAAGUCUGCAUUAAACAGGAAAAUCCAAAACCAUCUCUCGGAAAGAAUUUCAGAAAUUGGACUGAUCACACAGGAAGAGUUAAAAAAAAUACUCGAAAUGGUGUUUCCAGUUGUAGCCAAAGAAACAGCGCUCAGGGCAGAGAACGGACCAGAUUUAGCCAAAGAAGAACAAAGUGUACAGGAGAUAUCCCAUACAACUCAUACCCUACAAGAUAGGUUCUCUGAAGAAGAAUUGCAAAAUCUAAAAUCUCUCUGUAGCAGACUCUUGAAAGAAGGCAACACAGAACAACUUUCAGAACUAGAGGUAAAAGGAUUAGCAUCUGUUCUGCAAAAAAGCUUCGAAGAGCUUCCUGUACCAACUAGUCCCAAAACUGGGAUUAGUAAAGAAAUAGAUAAGAAUGAUACGGAUCACGAUGCCUCUAUUUCAAGUACUGAAAGCAUUUCAAAAGUUAGUGAUGUAGAUUUACCCGACAAAGCGAAACAUCCUUCAUAUGAAAACCUUCCUCAUACGUCAACUGCAAGUGAAAAAUAUAAAAGAGAAAGUCUAGGUGGUCUCAUGAACAGUAUUUUCGAAAUACAAACGAAGAACCAAGAAACCCAGACUUCCGGCUGCAAAAAAGUGAAGCACACUUGCAAGAAAGAGCGUUACAGAUUGCCAGGUUACCCUGAUAAUCUAGAGGUGUCAGAUUUGAAGAGAAGGUCCUAUGAAGAAAUAUCGCAAAGUAAGCCCCAGAGAGAACCCUUGAGGAAAACAUCUGAACCAUUUGCCUUUUCCUCUUUUUUGAGCGCACAUGACAUUGGAGCCCAAAAUGAAAUUAAAAUUAUCUUUCCAAAUCUCCUAAUUAUGCUUCCAAGCCUCCCUUUCCAGUGAACCCCCAGACUUUUCUCUUUUUACACCCGGAGUCUGAGGAAGAAGCCAAGCCAGCUUGCAAGUAUCAUCACAAAACCAAAACCAAGAAGUCUGACCGGAAAAAGGAUGCUGCGUUGCACCACUCACAGCAAGGAGGGACGAACCCUUCAGCCAAAAAGGAAAAAGCACACGGUCCGAGCGUCUAAGGAUGCUUUGAAAGAAAAACAUGGGAAAAAACACGGCGAGUUGUCUUCUAGAAAAUUGAGCGCGACAGAAAACAGGAAGGAUUCCAAAACGCUAUUAUCUCUGGGUGGUGCAAAAAAGGAAAGCGUGAAAGCGAAGCCAGAGAAGAAACGUGAUGACAUCAAACAAAAAAAAUCAUUUAGCAAGACGGCUGCCUUAUCUGAUUCACAACUAUCAAAAAAUGUUCAAGAAAAAUCCUCGAUUAAAUUUCCUAGCACCGGAUAUGCAAAAGCAAAUUCAUUGACUUCCAUUGCCAUAGAAGAUUUAGAUUUGGAAGCUUAUAAGCAUCUUGAAAAAGCAAUUGAAAGAGCACUUGUUGAUUUACAAGGUGUUGAGGAAGGGAGCUGCAGCCAAGCGAGAUCAAAUUCUGCUCCAAAUGUUGCUGGUCUGGUGUCUAAGGAUGCACUUCGGGCGUUUCCUUCUGCACCGGAGACUCCAAGAAAUCAAGCAGGCAUGAUAUUUGACAUGCUCAACAACCAGGAUCAAAUCUUAAAAAUGACACCUGAGCAGUUGGAAGUUGUUCUUAAGAUUCUCCACAAAAUAUUGAGGCAGGACUCCAGACCCCCAAAUAAUGGAUGAAUCUUAGCCUUCUGAUCCUCAACCUGCUAUGAGUGUGCUUUUGGGUUAUUACUUUUCCCCCUGGUCAUAAUAAAAAAUAAAACGCUCUUAGUACAUUUUAGUUCGGAAAGCUUGAAAACUUAUUUGAAUUAUUACUAAAGCAACCUUAUAUUUUUUUUUUUAAAUAAAAAGGCCAUUCUCCUUUUUGUCCCAGCCUGAUGCCUUUGAAACUUAUUGGAUUACAACACUCAUACUAAUCAACAACUGGACUGAAACAUUUCUUCCAAAAGACUACUUGCUCUGCUGAAUGCAGUUGAUAUAAGCAGUCCAGAGUUUAGCGAAAAGAGUUAACUUGUAUGAAUCUUUUCAUUGAUCCAGGAUGCCAAGAUGUUUUGUUUAAUUAAGAUUCCAAAAUGGAACUUGUACAUUAUGAUCUUUUAAUCAAAUUUUAUUUGCUCAGUUAUUGUUUGAAUCAAGAUAAUAGGUUUUUAAUUCUGCAAUAUGUGCCUUAUAACAUGCCAUUCCAAUUGUUGCUGACUCUUAAGGAAAUUACAUAAGCACUGUCUAGUAGUAUGUCUAUAUGGCACAUCGGAUGAAAGUGUCAUAUGCAUCAAUCCCCUUGGCCACAUCUGCACCUACUGUCUUAUAGUAGAAGCUGCAAGCCUGUGUUAUGAGGUAGCUUAGUAUGGGGAAGCAUAACCUCCUGAUAGACAGAAUCAAACAUGGAAUAUUCUUAGAAUUGGAUGCCUUCCAAAACAAAUCCAGUUCAAAACCAUCUGACUAGCAUCAUUUAAAUUUAUUCAUCUUCAUCCAGAUUCUAAAAACCUCCAGGACGUUCACAUCAUCUAUUCAGCCCAAGUUAAUGUCAAAAUACUGAUUAUAUCUGACUCCACGGCAAUGAACGUUCCCAUCUCUGCUGCUUUUAUUAUUUUAUAAAUAAUCGAAGUGGAGAACAUACCCAAAUUCCUUCCUUUCCCCCCCAGAAGAACUGAGGAAUUGUGGGGGGAAAGGAAGAGGGAGGAGUGUUAGGUAUAUUUGCCUCCUUCGGUUAUGUAUAAAAUAAUAAAAGCAGGAUACAAAUGUAAUAAAUAAAAAUAUGUAAACCAAGGGAGAUAACUUUUUAUCUCCAACAGUUAAAUUUGCUGUUGUCCUCUAAGUCUAAUGCACAGAAACUAUAAAAAAUUAGAAGCUACCUAUUUGCUGGAGCAUAUUUGUCACUAUAUGAGUUGAUUUCAUAUAGUGAUUAAAAGCAUUGGGAUAGACCCUGGAAGACUGUUCUAGUCCUGGCUUAAAUACAAAACCAGCUGGGUGACUUCUGGUCAGUCAUUCUCUCAGCCUUACGAAGAAGGCAAGGCAAACCACUUUUGCAAAAUGCUGCCGAGAAAAUUGUUAUGUACUCGUCUACAUAGUCACCAGGAAUCUACUGAUUUGAAAGCAUAAUAUAUGCCACUACCAAUCACACAGGACAGUACAUGUAUGACCUGAUUCUUCAGAUUUUUGUUAUGCAUUACUUAUUUCUCUCCUCCUUUCCCUCUGCCACAACAUCUCACCAUUCUUAAUGAGUCACAGUUGAUGCCUGAGAAUCAAGGGUUGACAGCUGUGUUCAACAGGAGCAUGCAGUGGCUAGAAUGUAGUGUUGCAAGCUAACGGCCAGGAGUUUAAUCCUGAUGAGGCUCUAGGUUGACUCAACCUUCCAAGGUUGAUAAAAUGGGGACCCAGAUUGUUGGAGGCAAUAUACUGACAUUGU